UACGUAGGGGGCAAGCGUUAUCCGGAUUUACUGGGUGUAAAGGGAGCGUAGACGGCCAGACAAGUCUGAAGUGAAAAUCCAGCGCUUAACGUUGGAAGUGCUUUGGAGACUGCCGGGCUAGAGUGCAGGAGGGGCAGGCGGAAUUCCUAGUGUAGCGGUGAAAUGCGUAGAUAUUAGGAGGAACACCAGUGGCGAAGGCGGCCUGCUGGACUGCAACUGAUGUUGAGGCUCGAAGGCGUGGGGAGCAAACAGG
rnacentral:rRNA from 1 species